rnacentral:rRNA from 1 species
AGCGUACGCUGGCGGCAGGCCUAACACAUGCAAGUCGAACGAACCUUUCGGGGUUAGUGGCGGACGGGUGAGUAACACGUGGGAACGUGCCUUUAGGUUCGGAAUAACUCAGGGAAACUUGUGCUAAUACCGAAUGUGCCCUUCGGGGGAAAGAUUUAUCGCCUUUAGAGCGGCCCGCGUCUGAUUAGCUAGUUGGUUGAGGUAAUGGCUCACCAAGGCGACGAUCAGUAGCUGGUCUGAGAGGAUGAUCGGCCACAUUGGGACUGAGACACGGCCCAAACUCCUACGGGAGGCAGCAGUGGGGAAUCUUGCGCAAUGGGCGAAAGCCUGACGCAGCCAUGCCGCGUGAAUGAUGAAGGUCUUAGGAUUGUAAAAUUCUUUCACCGGGGACGAUAAUGACGGUACCCGGAGAAGAAGCCCCGGCUAACUUCGUG